rnacentral:rRNA from 1 species
AAUUAGAGAUUUACUAUUUUUAAUUUAUAUUUUUAUAGAAAUAACUUUUUUUUUAGUAGGUUGUACUGAAAAAAUCUUUUUUGUGUUAGUGAAUAUGUACUGUAAGGGAAUAUUAUGUAAUUAAUUAUAAGGAGACUUUUAUUGUUGUACCUUUUGUAUCAGGGAUAAUCAAAUUUAGAUUAUGUAUUUAGUUUUCCCGAAAUAAGGAGAGAUAUAAUUAUAUGUUAGUUAAUGUUUCAUAAUUAUUGAUAAUAUAAUUAUAGUAAUGAAAAGUUAUUCGUUCUUUAAUAUCUGGUUUUUUAGGAAUUGAAUUUAAUUCAGAAUUGUCCUUUAAAGUUCUUAAUUGAAUGAGGUCUUUAAGGACAAUUCAAGGCUUUUGGGGAUAAGCUCGGGAGUUUUAUUAAAAUUUUAGUUAUAUUGGGGUUUGAGUAGGCUUGGAAUCAGCCAUCAUUAAUUUCGUUAUAGAUUAUUCUCACUUUUUUUAAUUUGUUUAGGAUUUAAUUUUUUACUAAAAUUAAUUAAUUAAUUAUUAAUUAAUUGAAAUAAUGAUUGUAUAAGUAUAUUUGUAAUUAAAAUGUAGGAAUUCGGCAAAAAUCGUGUUCGCCUGUUUAACAAAAACAUGUCCUUUUGAUUUUUAUUUAAGGUUUGACCUGCCCAAUGAUUUUUUUAAUGGCCGCGGUAUAUUAACCGUGCUAAGGUAGCAUAAUCAUUUGUCUUUUAAUUAAGGGCUUGUAUGAAGGGUCGGACGAGGCACGUUCUUUCUUUAUUUUAGUUUUAGAAUUUAUCUUUUUAGUUAAAAGACUAAAAUUUAUCUAUGGGACGAGAAGACCCUGUAGAUCUUUAUUUUAAAAUUUAUUAAAUUUUUUUAGUUAAUUAUAAAUUUAAUUUUUAUUAAAAUUAAAUUGGGGUGAUUGCAGAAAUUUAAUAACUUCUGUUUUAGUUUUCAUUAAUGAGUGUAAUAAUGAUCCAUUUUUAGUGAUUAGAAGAUUAAGUUACCUCAGGGAUAACAGCGUAAUCUUUUCGGAGAGUUCAUAUCGAUGAAGGGGUUUGCGACCUCGAUGUUGGAUUAAAAUUAGUGUUAGGUGUAGCAAUUUAAUUACUAGGUCUGUUCGACCUUUAAUUUUUUACAUGAUCUGAGUUCAGACCGGCGUAAGCCAGGUCAGUUUCUAUCUUUAGUCAAUGUUCAUGUCUUAGUACGAAAGGACCAUUCAUGAGAAAUAAUUUUUUAUAUUUGAUUUAUAUU